UGGGGAAUAUUGCACAAUGGACGAAAGUCUGAUGCAGCAACGCCGCGUGGAGGAUGACACAUUUCGGUGCGUAAACUCCUUUUAUAUGAGAAGAUAAUGGCGGUAUUAUAUGAAUAAGCACCGGCUAACUCCGUGCCAGCAGCCGCGGUAAUACGGGGGGUGCAAGCGUUACUCGGAAUCACUGGGCGUAAAGAGCAUGUAGGCGGAUUAAUAAGUUUGAAGUGAAAUCCUAUAGCUUAACUAUAGAACUGCUUUGAAGACUGUUAAUCUAGAAUGUGGGAGAGGUAGAUGGAAUUUCUGGUGUAGGGGUAAGAUCCGUAGAGAUCUGAAGGAAUACCGAUUGCGAAGGCGAUCUACUGGAACAUUAUUGACGCUGAGAUGCGA
rnacentral:rRNA from 1 species